AAUAAUCAAACUUAGCAAAAAAAAUAUAUAGAGAAACAGAUGAAAAAAAAUUAAAAAAAAUUUAUUCAUCAAUUUUUUUAAAAAAAAGAAAUACAAACAUAUCAUAAAAUACAAUGAGUAAAAUAAAAAAAAAAAAGUUGAGAUCUAAACUUCAAACACUGAUUUGUUGUUGUUGUUGUUGCAUGAACCAAAAUUGGAGAAGAAGAUCACAACAAACAGACUAAAUUCGCUUUCCGGCACAGUGACAUUAUUUUCCGGCACAGAGGUCAAGGGAUUAAAAGUUUUCUGAUAUUGAUUUUUUUUGUGGUUAUGUAGAGGAGGUGGAGGAGAGCCUAUAUAUGGUGAUAAUUUUUCAAAAUCUGGUCUAUGGUGGUGAAGAUCUAAUGGGGAAAGUGGCGUUGAGACAUCCAAAAUACUCUUCGAUCUAAAAAAAAAUUAGACAGAAAGCUAGAGGAGAGGAUGAAGAUGAUGGUGGAACAACCAAAAGAGAUGGAAAAAUAUAGAUUGAACAAGGUAAGGUGGUGAUAGGUGGUGUGUGGCGGCUAGGUUUUUCACGGGGAGAGAGUUCUCCAAAAAAUUGACAAUGAAGAGAGAGAAAGAAAAUAGUAGUAAGUGAUUUGUGAGAGCUUAAAGUAAAAAAAUU
rnacentral:lncRNA from 1 species